rnacentral:misc_RNA from 1 species
UAGAAACAAGAGAUUCGAACGGAGAAACAAUGCCUCAACCAGCUUGCCAGUUAGUCAAAAUUUGCCCAAUAAUCAGUGAAUUAUAAAAAAGUGGUAAAAGGCAUUACCUUCAUUCUCUUGAUUUUAAAAACCUGUGAAGUGUUCAAUUUCCAAUGCUAGAGAUUGCCUUCCAAUAGAACACUCUGCCCAGACAUCCUGGGCUGCAAACUCUUCAUCUUCAGAUUUUCAGCCAUACUCUUGAACAAAGUUUGAGAGUUCCCACUCUGGCUCUCACUCCAUUGUGGCAACACUUCCACAACUACUUUUUG